rnacentral:rRNA from 1 species
UACGUAGGGAGCAAGCGUUGUCCGGAUUCACUGGGUGUAAAGGGCGCGUAGGCGGUCAGCACAAGUCAGUUGUGAAAUCUCCGGGCUUAACUCGGAAAGGUCAACUGAUACUGUGCGACUAGAGUGGCAGAAGGGGCAACUGGAAUUCUCGGUGUAGCGGUGAAAUGCGUAGAUAUCGAGAGGAACACCUGCGGCGAAGGCGGGUUGCUGGGCUGACACUGACGCUGAGGCGCGGAAAGCCCAGGGGAGCGAACGGG